GCCAGCUUUGAGGUUUUGCACUGUCACAGUGUUGGUGGGGCUCUUCACUGCUGUUGAAUUUAACUCACUCAGGUUCUUCUCAUAGUAUUGCAGCUCAUAAUCCAGGAUGACUCCAUUGGGCUGGUCAGGUUGAGACCACGAGAGGGUAAUGCUGUCCACAGUGCGGCUGACCUGGUGCAUUAUGGACACGGCUGAAGGAGCAGCCUGGUUGGUGGUGAUAUUCACUGAUGCAAACUGUGGGGAGAAGGGGCUCUGGUCGGUGACCCCAUUCACAGCCUGGAUCUCAAAGGUGUACUGCGUGUGGGCCAGCAGGUCGCUGAUGUAGAUGCGAGGCUCCGUCAGGCCCAGCUGGCGUGGGGCAAACUGCACGUUGUCCCCACAGCGCGUGCACGCCCCACGGCCCGACCCACAGCUCUUGCAGAUGAUGUUGUACACCAGAUCCUCCCGGCCCCCUGAGUCUCGUGGUGGGGUCCACUCCAGCAUCAGGGAGGUUUCAUUCACGCUGGAGAUCACGGCCUGGGGGGCAGAUGGGAUGGUGGUGCAUGGCAUGUCGACGGGGUCAGCAUCUGCCCGGUAAUAUCCGUUUCGGCACACGCAGUUCGUGGCCCCUUCCGAAGUCGUCCGGCUGUUAAUUGGACAAUGGACACAUCCUUCAUCUCCUUGGCUGGCCUUGAAGGUCCCUGAUGGGCAGCCUCUGCAGACGGUCCCAUUCUCCACCGACUCAUAGCCCGGCCUGCACAUGCAGCGGCCGAUGGGCACCAGCCACUCGCCAUCCCCAUUGCAGUACAGCUUGAUGGGCACAUCCACCUCCUCCGCAUUGCUGAUGCACGUCCCCCGGGCUGCCACCAGAGAUGUGCUCUCCGCUCCCGAGAGGGUUUCUUGGAAGACCGCCCCGUUCUGGAUCACACGGGGACACUUGCGGUAAAAGACACGGACUGCAAUCAAGGACAUGCAGCCCCCGUAGUCCUGGAAGGCCAGGUAGAAACCGUUUUUGGAGACAGGCCCAAAACUGCGCACCUCGGUGUUAAUCUUCAUCACCCGCCCACCAAGGUCCACCUGCGAGAAGCUCUCGUCGGCAGCAAUUGUAUCUACCUUCAUCCAAGGGUUUUCCAUCCAGUUAGGAAAAGUCUUGGUGGCAGAGUCAAAGUCUGAUUCGUAGUAAUAGAGGUUAAAAGUCUCCUUACAGGAGCCCGGGACGUUGGGGAUGCUGCUGCAGUCCCGAACGGAGAAUUUCAUCUCCACGUGGAUGCGGUGCGCUCCUCGCCUCCGGAUGUACUUGGUCCGCAGCCAGUUGUUUUGGCUGGAUUCAAAGACGUUGCACACCUGGUAGGUGCGGAUGGUGUUCAUGUUCUCAUCGUAUCCACUCACCUCUUCCCACCCUGAGGGAGGAUGCACCAUCCAGCCCAGCUCUGCUGUGGCCGUUGUGGAGUCCAUCAGCGUCUCUUCCACGGCGGCGAGCAGAGGCAAGAGGGCGAGGGGCAAACAGCAGAACCACAACGGCCCCAUGGUGCGCUCCGGGCCGGGCAUCAGAAGCGGCGGCGGAGCUCCAUGGAGGCGGCGGAGCGCAGAGCCGAGCCCCUCGCUGGGGCUGGGGCCGCCGCCGGCGCGGGCACGGCCGCGGGCACGGAGCGCACCGCCGGCCCCGCCGCCCCGACCGGGCCGAGCCACCGCCGCCGCCGCGCGGGGGAGCGCCCCGCGCCGCCCUCCCCGCCCCGGGGGCGCCGCGCUGCCGGAGGGGGCGGC
rnacentral:lncRNA from 1 species